UUUCUAGUAACAAAUGUACAAAUAAGAAUAUUGUUAACAGUAAAAUUUAUAUUUCUGCUAAUCUGUACACAAUUUGUAGACUCACAGAUGAAGAGAAUUUUUUACGUCUAUUUUUUAUUUUAACAAAUUUAUGUCAUGAUGAUGAUGAUACUGUAAAAAUUAUUAAUAUAUUUAAUUGUGUUCAAAUUAGUUGUCGUUAUUCUAAAAUAAUAUUAUAUUACUUUUUUUUACCUUUAUUUAAUAAUUUUUUAAAAAAUGAAAAUGUAUAUAUUUUUUAUUAUGCUUUGAUCAACUUAUUUUCUGUUAUAUGCAUAUUAGAAGACACAGAUAUAAUUCAUCCAUAUUAUAUACGGAAAAUAAUAUUUUUUUUUAAUAACAUGUUUUCAUCUCAUUCUUUUACAUUAAAUUAUUUAUAUGAUAUAGCCAAAAGAAAAAAUAAUUAUUUUUUGUUGAAUACGUCACAAGUACAAACAGAUAGUCCCAUUUCAGGUACAGGUGUAAGUGUUGCUACUUCUGUUGCUACUACUGUAGAGGCUACAGAUGUGAAUAGAAAAAAAAUAAAUGUGACAUGUAAGGUUGAUGAAAUAGAUGAUGUAGGAACUGCAUGCAAUAUGUACGUAUUAGGUGAUGUUCAAGUGGUUAAUAAUGUCUACACAUCUACAAAAGAGCCCAAAAUAGGCAUAACAGUAAAUUCGAGUAUACCAGAUAAAGAAAAAAUAGAAGAAAAUUUAUUAGAUGCAAAUAUAAAUGAACUUUAUUUAAAUAGAUAUGAUGAAGUAGUAGAUAUAUUUACAUGUGAUUAUAAAAAAAAUGUAUUAUCUAAUGGUUUACAAACCAAUGAAACCAGUUGUGACAAAAUGAAACCAUGCCUAGUUGAACAUGACAAACGCGAGUGCACCACUGCUGAUUUUCUGAGUGUUGAAAAAAAUAAUUAUAUAAACAUAAACAUAAACAUAAAAAAUGAAAGUGAAAGUGAAAAUAAAAAUAUAAGUGAUAAAAACAUAAGUGAUAAAAACAUAAGUGAUAAAAACAUAAGUGAUAAAAAUGAACUACCAACAUGUACAAACUUGCUUGAUGAUAGCAAAUCACCAGGCCUAACAAAAAAGCUAAUGUACUCGAAACAUAUUACAUCACCAUUAGACCGAAGAAGGUUAUCAGUAUUAAAUUGUAAUAUACCAUCUUGUAUUUUUUUUAAUAAUAGUUAUAUUAAUAAUCUUAUAAUUAGUAAUAAUCAUUUUUGUUUAAGUGUUAAGCAGUUUUUUCAAACGCAUGGUUCUGAUUGUUCUGUUUGUGAUACUCCUGAUGGUAGUAUAAACAUGUGUGUUGAUGCAAACACUGUUGCAAUUGCUGAUACACAUGGACAAAACGAUUACACACAGGGUGAGUAUCCAUGCGGGAAAGACAUGAAUAAAAAAAAAAAAAACCCAAAUAAACGAGUGAGUAAUAAUAGUAGUAGUAAAAUUUUUUAUACGAACGCAAAGAAUAAAGAACAAAGUGAAUUUAAAGGAAAAAACAC
rnacentral:lncRNA from 1 species